GAGGAAAGCGGGCGGCAGGCUUAACACAUGCAAGUCGAGGGGAAACGACGGGGAAGCUUGCUUCCCCGGGCGUCGACCGGCGCACGGGUGAGUAACGCGUAUCCAACCUGCCUCUGACUGAGGGAUAACCCGUCGAAAGUCGGCCUAAUACCUCAUGGUAUCGUCUGCGGGCAUCCAACGACGAUUAAAGAUUUCAUCGGUCAGGGAUGGGGAUGCGUCUGAUUAGCUUGUUGGCGGGGUAACGGCCCACCAAGGCUACGAUCAGUAGGGGUUCUGAGAGGAAGGUCCCCCACAUUGGAACUGAGACACGGUCCAAACUCCUACGGGAGGCAGCAGUGAGGAAUAUUGGUCAAUGGGCGAGAGCCUGAACCAGCCAAGUAGCGUGCAGGAAGACGGCCCUAUGGGUUGUAAACUGCUUUUAUGCGGGGAUAAAGUGAGGGACGUGUCCCUCAUUGCAGGUACCGCAUGAAUAAGGACCGGCUAAUUCCGUG
rnacentral:rRNA from 1 species